rnacentral:lncRNA from 1 species
ACCUUAUGUGUGGAGUCUCUUCGAACCCCCUCAACCAUCCGGACUUCUUCGAUAAUGAACUUCUGCAUUCAUCCACCGGGCCACCCCAAAGGCCCUCAAGGCCCCACUGUUAGCCGACCUUCUAUAGCAACCGACUAUCCCCAAACUUCUUUCAGACUUCAUCAGCAUCUGAGCUUCCCCGACAAUGAGAUUUCUACAGUAACC